rnacentral:rRNA from 1 species
CAGCAGCCGCGGGAAUACGAGGGGGGCAAGCGUUGUUCGGAAUUAUUGGGCGUAAAGGGUGCGUAGGCGGUUUGGCAAGUCUUGUGUGAAAUCUUCGGGCUCAACCCGAAGCCUGCACGAGAAACUGCCGGGCUUGAGUAUUGGAGAGGUGAGUGGAAUUUCCGGUGUAGCGGUGAAAUGCGUAGAUAUCGGAAGGAACACCUGUGGCGAAAGCGGCUCACUGGACAAUAACUGACGCUGAUGCACGAAAGCUAGGGGAGCAAACAGGAUUAGAUACCCCUGUAGUCCCUGUCUCUUAUAC